UGGGGAAUAUUGCACAAUGGGCGCAAGCCUGAUGCAGCCAUGCCGCGUGUGUGAAGAAGGCCUUCGGGUUGUAAAGCACUUUCAGCGAGGAGGAAGGUGGUGAGCUUAAUACGCUCAUCAAUUGACGUUACUCGCAGAAGAAGCACCGGCUAACUCCGUGCCAGCAGCCGCGGUAAUACGGAGGGUGCAAGCGUUAAUCGGAAUUACUGGGCGUAAAGCGCACGCAGGCGGUUUGUUAAGUCAGAUGUGAAAUCCCCGGGCUCAACCUGGGAACUGCAUUUGAAACUGGCAAGCUAGAGUCUCGUAGAGGGGGAUAGAAUUCCAGGUGUAGCGGUGAAAUGCGUAGAGAUCUGGAGGAAUACCGGUGGCGAAGGCGGCCCCCUGGACGAAGACUGACGCUCAGGUGCGAAAGCGUGGGGAGCAAAACAGGAUUAGAUACCCCUGGUAGUCCAGCGCUGUAAACGAUGUCGAUUUUGGAGGUUGUGCCCUUGAGGCGUGGCUUCCGGAGCUAACGCGUUAAAUCGACCGCCUUGGGAGUACGGCCGCAAGGUUAAAACUCAAAUGAAUUGCGGGUCUAGCUG
rnacentral:rRNA from 1 species